CCAGACUCCUACGGGAGGCAGCAGUGAGGAAUAUUGGUCAAUGGGCGAGAGCCUGAACCAGCCAAGUCGCGUGAGGGAAGACUGCCCUAUGGGUUGUAAACCUCUUUUGUCAGGGAGCAAUUGGCGCUACGUGUAGCGUUAUCGAGAGUACCUGAAGAAAAAGCAUCGGCUAACUCCGUGCCAGCAGCCGCGGUAAUACGGAGGAUGCGAGCGUUAUCCGGAUUUAUUGGGUUUAAAGGGUGCGCAGGCGGAAGAUCAAGUCAGCGGUAAAAUUGAGAGGCUCAACCUCUUCGAGCCGUUGAAACUGGUUUUCUUGAGUGAGUGAGAAGUAUGCAGAAUGCGUGGUGUAGCGGUGAAAUGCAUAGAUAUCACGCAGAACUCCGAUUGCGAAGGCAGCAUACCGGCGCCCUACUGACGCUGAGGCACGAAAGCGUGGGUAUCGAACAGGAUUAGAUACCCUGGUAG
rnacentral:rRNA from 1 species